GAUGAACGCUGGCGGCGUGCCUAAUACAUGCAAGUCGAGCGAACAGACGAGGAGCUUGCUCCUCUGACGUUAGCGGCGGACGGGUGAGUAACACGUGGAUAACCUACCUAUAAGACUGGGAUAACUUCGGGAAACCGGAGCUAAUACCGGAUAAUAUAUUGAACCGCAUGGUUCAAUAGUGAAAGACGGUUUUGCUGUCACUUAUAGAUGGAUCCGCGCCGCAUUAGCUAGUUGGUAAGGUAACGGCUUACCAAGGCAACGAUGCGUAGCCGACCUGAGAGGGUGAUCGGCCACACUGGAACUGAGACACGGUCCAGACUCCUACGGGAGGCAGCAGUAGGGAAUCCUCCGCAAUGGGCGAAAGCCUGACGGAGCAACGCCGCGUGAGUGAUGAAGGUCUUCGGAUCGUAAAACUCUGUUAUUAGGGAAGAACAAAUGUGUAAGUAACUAUGCACGUCUUGAUGGUACCUAAUCAGAAAGCCACGGCUAACUACGUG
rnacentral:rRNA from 1 species